UGCUGGAUAGUGCAGUUUUUAAUGAUUUAGCUGUUGUUCGUGUGCAUGUUGGAGAGGAGCGGAGACAGAGCAGAGAACUGUUUUGGGCAGGUGCUGCUGUUUCACUCGACUCUCAUCAUACAUUGGAAAGAGUAUUCAUUGUCCAAGUUCACAAGAAGGCUGGGGUGCUCCUGAUUUUUCCCUUUCCCUCCAUGUGCUUAGAGGAUAUCUCAAGACUGCAAGGGACGUGUGCAUGGCUGAAAGUUGAGGAUAUUGGCCACUGUUUUCUACUGUGUUUUCUUGACGGUUCUCUACUGUUGUUAAUGGUUCUC